rnacentral:rRNA from 1 species
AAUAUUUCACAAUGGGGGAAACCCUGAUGCAGCGACGCCGCGUGAGUGAAGAAGANUUNNGGUAUNUNAAGCACUAUCAGCAGNNNNNAAUAUGACGGUCACUGACUAAGAAGACACUGCUUACUACGUGCCAGCAGCCGCGGUAAUACGUAGGGGGCAAGCGUUAUCCGGAUUUACUGUGUGUAAAGGGCGCGUAGGUGGCGAGUCAAGUCAGAUGUGAAAGCCCGGGGCUCAACCCCGGGAUUGCAUUUGAAACUGGUUUGCUAGAGUGCAGGAGAGGUAAGUGGAAUUCCUAGUGUAGCGGUGAAAUGCGUAGAUAUUAGGAGGAACACCAGUGGCGAAGGCGGCUUACUGGACUGUAACUGACACUGAGGCUCGAAAGCGUGGGGAGCAAACA